UCUUGGGUCGUAAACCUCUUUUCUCAAGGAAGAAGAAAGUGACGGUACUUGAGGAAUAAGCAUCGGCUAACUCCGUGCCAGCAGCCGCGGUAAUACGGAGGAUGCAAGCGUUAUCCGGAAUGAUUGGGCGUAAAGGGUCUGUAGGUGGUACUGAAAGUCUGCUGUUAAAGAGCAAGGCUCAACCUUGUAAGAGCAGUGGAAACUACAGAACUAGAGUGCGGUAGGGGCAAAAGGAAUUCCUGGUGUAGCGGUGAAAUGCGUAGAUAUCAGGAAGAACACCGGUGGCGAAAGCGUUUUGCUAGACCGCAACUGACACUGAGGGACGAAAGCUAGGGGAGCGAAUGGGAUUAGAUACCCCAGUAGUCCUAGCCGUAAACGAUGGAUACUAGGCGUGGCUUGUAUCGACCCGAGCCGUGCCGGAGCUAACGCGUUAAGUAUCCCGCCUGGGGAGUACGCACGCAAGUGUGAAACUCAAAGGAAUUGACGGGGGCCCGCACAAGCGGUGGAGUAUGUGGUUUAAUUCGAUGCAACGCGAAGAACCUUACCAAGACUUGACAUCCUGCGAAUUUUCCUGAAAGGGAAAAGUGCCUUCGGGAGCGCAGAGACAGGUGGUGCAUGGCUGUCGUCAGCUCGUGUCGUGAGAUGUUGGGUUAAGUCCCGCAACGAGCGCAACCCUCGUUUUUAGUUGCCAGCAUUAAGAUGGGCACUCUAGAGAGACUGCCGGUGAC
rnacentral:rRNA from 1 species